ACUGAGUUCCCACAAGAAGGAAGGAAUUCUCCCUUCAGGCUGUAGACUGCAACAGCAGUUCCUGUGGGAAUGACCAGCCUCCUGCCUGCCCUUUACCACGGGAACCCUGAACGUGGAAGAAGACUUUGGACCCAGAUCCUGCUCCACACCGUCACUCACCCCGCGGUGAGCAGCAGAAGGGCCUUUGAGAGGGUCGCCUCUUCCGUCGCUGUUCCGGUGGGGGAGGGGCGCAGACCCCUUUCCUGGGGACAGGAGGCCGUGGGCAUCAGCAGCAGGCAGGAGGGACCACCUCUUUCUCCCCGCCAUGCAAACAGCCAUGCUCGCCACUGCCCAGGUCCUCCUCCGGCUGCCACUGUAAACUGAGGCAGCUGCUGCUUCCCCCCAAACUGUCCCCCAGCCAGGGCUCGGCCCGCAGUGGGACCCUGCGGGCCAUCUGACCGCGCUCAGCUUCUCAUCCGCCCGAGAUGCCAGGCUCCGGAGGCACCAUCCCUCACGGGGACUCCGCGGUCUUGGAAAGGCCGCUGUCCUGCUUCGGGAAGGCCGGGUGGCUGCGCCCUCUGGCCGGUGAGAAGCUCAGUGCGGGCCGGGCCGCCUCCCUGCCUUCAGGAGCAUUUGCCAUUCCUGCAUUACCUAGGACUGCAAAGGUCAAACUAUGUCUGUUUGAAAGGUAGCCAAAAUCUCAAGCUAAAAGAUGAUCAUUCGGGAUGCUUUGACAUUCAAACAUCUUGAGUGACGCUCUAGUCUCCCACUGAUUCCGUCCAGGUCUGCAGAGAGGCCCUGCAGACAGCCUAGAGCAGUGACACCCUCCAGGCUGCGUCUCCAUUCGGGAGUCCGUAGCCACCUUUACCAAACACAGAAGACCUCCAGCAGCUGCUGCUGCUGCUUUGUGUGUGUGCAACACCGGGACCCUUUGCUAUUUUCCUUCGUGCUUUCCUUUCUUUUCUUUUCUUUUCUUUUCUUUUUUUUUUUUUUUUGAGACGGAGUCUUGCUCUGUCGCCCAGGCUGGUGUGCAGUGGGGCCAUCUCGGCUCACUGCAAGCUCCGCCUCCUGGGUUCACGCCAUGCUCUUGCCUCAGCCUCCAGAGUAGCUGGGAUUGCAGGCGCCCCCCACCGCGCCCAGCUAAUUUUUUUGUAUUUUUAGUAGAGACGGGGUUUCACCGUGGUCUCGAUCUCCUGACCUCGUGAUCCGCCCGCCUCGGCCUCCCAAAGUGCUGGGAUGACAGGCGUGAGCCACCGCGCCCGGCCAUGCUUUCCUUUCUUGUUUAGCCACUAACAUGUAUUACUUUCAUAAUUCAAAAAAUUGUAAGUGCAAGAAUUCCAAGUUACUGUGUGUCAAAGGCAUGAAGCAAACCCAAAAGCUGCAACCUCUUUCCCUGCCGCAAAACCUCAUUGCUGUAGUCCCCCUGAAUAAAGUCUGUCUCACUGCCUAAAAAAAGGAAAGAAAGAAAGAAAGAAAAACAAGAUGGGGCAAAGUACAGAA